rnacentral:rRNA from 1 species
GAUGAACGCUGGCGGCGUGCCUAAUACAUGCAAGUCGAGCGACCGGACGAGAAGCUUGCUUCUCUGAUGUUAGCGGCGGACGGGUGAGUAACACGUGGAUCACCUACCUAUAAGACUGGGAUAACUUCGGGAAACCGGUGCUAAUACCGGCUAAUAUUUUGAACCGCAUGGUUCAAAAGUGAAAGACGGUUUUGCUGUCACAUAUAGAUGGAUCCGCGCUGCAUUAGCUAGUUGGUAAGGUAACGGCUUACCAAGGCAACGAUGCAUAGCCGACCUGAGAGGGUGAUCGGCCACACUGGAACUGAGACACGGUCCAGACUCCUACGGGAGGCAGCAGUAGGGAAUCUUCCGCAAUGGGCGAAAGCCUGACGGAGCAACGCCGCGUGAGUGAUGAAGGUCUUCGGAUCGUAAAACUCUGUUAUUGGGGAAGAAAAGAUGUGUAAGUAACUGUGCACAUCUUGACGGUACCUAAUCAGAAAGCCACGGCUAACUACGUG